rnacentral:rRNA from 1 species
UACGUAGGGUGCAAGCGUUGUCCGGAAUUAUUGGGCGUAAAGAGCUCGUAGGUGGUUUGUUACGUCUGCUGUGAAAUCCUAGGGCUUAACCCUGGGCUUGCAGUGGAUACGGGCAGACUAGAGGUAGGUAGGGGAGAAUGGAAUUCCUGGUGUAGCGGUGAAAUGCGCAGAUAUCAGGAGGAACACCGGUGGCGAAGGCGGUUCUCUGGGCCUUACCUGACACUGAGGAGCGAAAGCGUGGGGAGCGAACAGG